rnacentral:rRNA from 1 species
GACCAACGCUGGCGGCGUGCUUAACACAUGCAAGUCGAACGGAAAGACCCUGCUUUUGUGGGGUGCUCGAGUGGCGAACGGGUGAGUAACACGUGAGUAACCUGCCCUUGACUUUGGGAUAACUUCAGGAAACUGGGGCUAAUACCGGAUAGGAGCUCCUGCUGCAUGGUGGGGGUUGGAAAGUUUCGGCGGUUGGGGAUGGACUCGCGGCUUAUCAGCUUGUUGGUGGGGUAGUGGCUUACCAAGGCUUUGACGGGUAGCCGGCCUGAGAGGGUGACCGGCCACAUUGGGACUGAGAUACGGCCCAGACUCCUACGGGAGGCAGCAGUGGGGAAUAUUGCACAAUGGGCGGAAGCCUGAUGCAGCAACGCCGCGUGCGGGAUGACGGCCUUCGGGUUGUAAACCGCUUUCGCCUGUGACGAAGCGUGAGUGACGGUAAUGGGUAAAGAAGCACCGGCUAACUACGUG